rnacentral:lncRNA from 1 species
AGAAGGUGGACGAGCAGCAGUAUAAUUCAGCCCAAAUCCUGAAGACGUUAGCUUUUUGUGGUCCUUGGGUCCUCAGUGGCUUUGACUCCCCUCGUGUGCCCGUCGCUCGUGCCCUUGGACACUGCAAAGAAGCUACAGCAGAGAGUCUGUUGCUUAAGGGUUUCUGGUAAUGGCGUAAAGAUCACCAGUAAAUGGAUGAUAAACAGCCCCGAUUUCCUGUAAAAAUACAGACAUAUGACGGUGAAAGAGAAUUUAGAGGGUACGACGCUUCACUUUCUUUUGGCUUCCCGUAGUUUACCUGUGUCAUAACCUGUCUAUUAACUUUCUCCCCCCUUUCUUUUUUGCUAAAGACUAAGAAACAUGGGGUAUUAACCACGAUGAUGCUGCCUCUUAGCUGGAAGGUGAGAAAAAAAUGGAAAACUCUAAGGGAGAGGGUCUUCCGAUAAGGAGUUGAUACUUGUUGGAAUGUUCCAGAAUGACUUCAUGGUUCCUGACAUCCCCUACCACCCCUGAAAUCCAUAAUGAUCAGCAAAUUCUGUGCUUUCUCUGGUGUGUCAGGUACUGUGAUCGAUUCUAGGAUUACAUUAAUAUGGGAAAGACAAUUCCUGUCUUUGAGGGGAGAAACAAUAGGGGAGAAAGCUAGCAGACGCUCCGCUGAGGGGGCUGAGGGAGUCUGCUGUGUUGAAAACUCGUGUCGAGAAGUCCAUCAUGGUGUUUUGUUGGGGUGGCCGGCGACUCCGAGAUGGUGCCCAACGUCAGGCAGAGCGGAGGAAACGCCCUUACUCUAUCGUCGUUCCUUCUUCUUGGAGGAUGAAAAGGACCAUUCCAUUUGGACAAGAGUGCGUCGGACAAGGAGCAUCGAGAGCACGUGGCAUGGUUCCGGCGCGGAGGCCUUUUGAUGAAUUGCAGUGCUGUGUGCUGAGGAAAGGCAACCAACCUCUCCUGCAGCUUCUAUGUUAAGGCAGAGAGAAGCGUGUCGCGACGCAGUAACACAGUGUUAAACCCGGGGCCUCUGCAGAGAUGAGGUCUUGAGCGGGUGCCACUGACAUAAUGGCUUAGAGAAAGGAGUCGUGAGGUCGGGUGGAGUGGACCAGGGCCAAUUCUGGUAGGCUUCACUCGCAGGACCCCGCUUGCAGUAGAUCUUGGUGCAAGCCUCAGGUGGGAGACAGCCCUAGGAUGGUGCAGCGUCGCAGUGAAGAGCUCAGACCCUAGAGCUAUAGCGUUCUAGUUGCUGCGUGUGACACCUAAGACUCCUAAGCCUGGGUCUCGCCAGGGGUAAAGGGGCCUAAUAUGGCACAUGCCUGUAUCUUGGCUGAGAUGCUCUGGGUUGCCUAUAACAGGACGAUCGACUUGUGGUGGCUGGGUGUUCGAAGAGCUGGACUGUCCUGGUCUGGCUCCACUUGCCUGAGGUUCUCUAUCAGCUUCUUCCUCAGCUGGCGUUCCCACCACAUUCCGGGAUGGCAGCAGAAACUCCCAACACCGUAACCAGAGGGCAUAACGCUGGAAGGAAAGGAGACCUUUCCCCAGAGCCCCUCAGCAGUCUUAUGCUGACAUCUCAUUGGGCAGAAUUACAUCCAAUGCCUUGAUCUCCGGAAACAUCUGGACCCAUCAUGAUUGGGCGCUUAGGCCACUGAAGGUUCAUAGUCCAGUUUUAGUCACAUGGUGGAGGAGGCAUGGCUGACCAAGAUCGGGCUUGGCCAUCAAGGGAGAAAAGGAGAACAGAUACUGGGUGGAUGCCCAGGCGUCUGUUUCAGGACCUCAUAGGGUUAUGAGAAUCCAUGAAAACUGUGCCUGUCAGAGGGUUGCUCCAGUGCCUGGCACGUAGUCACAACUCACCAGAACUCAGCAGGCGUGAUCGCAGUGAGUGACAGCAGUGCUGGGAAGUAGGGGCAUGAAAGCUUCUUGUCCACUUUUGCAAAGACCUUGUUCCUGUCAUGUCCUGUAGCCAUUCCCUGGUGGCCCAGUGGGUUAAGGAGCCAGUGUUGUCACUGCUGGGGCUCGGGUCACUGAGGGUUCGAUCUGGGGCCUGGGAACUUGUGCACGCCAUGGGCAUGGCCCCAAAAAAUUACAGUGAAAGAAAGAUACACUUCACAUCAAUUGGUUUUGAAUUUAGGGCUUCACCCUCUAUCAUCUCUGUCAUCUCAGAUGAGUUUCUCAAGUUGGCUGAGCCUCAGUUUACCAAGCUAUUUGAUGGGGACGGCCACAUCACUUUUUUCUUCAAACAGCCACUGCAGGCACCUCACGCAGUCCCUCCCUGCCUUCUGAAAAUAGAGCCUGAGCUACUUUGUUUGAGGGUAGGGUGGGGGUAUUUACCUGGUGCAAACAGAGGGAGCACUGAAGUGGCACCGAGGCAGUCGGCACAGCCCCCACGAACUUCUCCCUGUGCGUCUAGUUCCCUAGAAAACCGCCCCUGACCGCCCACUGUUCAGACUUGCUCAGGUGACUAUAACCACCGGUGUUGGUAACAAUGCGCCUAUCGACUCCUCAUUUCAGUAGAUAUCCAGAUUUAUUAUCCCUCAAGGUAAGUAUCGAUUUUACCUUUGUCUCAGUCAAUAUUUACCUCUGAGGUCAAUACGCGCAGAUAUCCACCUCAGCUGCAGUCAGCAUCCACUGCGUGUUACAGUGUGUGAUGUACACAUGAGAAAAUCAACACCACCAUGGC